rnacentral:rRNA from 1 species
AGAGUUUGAUCCUGGCUCAGGACGAACGCUGGCGGCGUGCCUAAUACAUGCAAGUCGAGCGCGGGAAGCGAGUGGAUCCCUUCGGGGUGAAGCUCGUGGAACGAGCGGCGGACGGGUGAGUAACACGUGGGCAACCUGCCUGUAAGAUCGGAAUAACCCCGGGAAACCGGGGCUAAUGCCGGGUAAUACUUUUCUUCGCAUGAAGAUAAGUUGAAAGAUGGCUUCUCGCUAUCACUUACAGAUGGGCCCGCGGCGCAUUAGCUAGUUGGUGAGGUAACGGCUCACCAAGGCAACGAUGCGUAGCCGACCUGAGAGGGUGAUCGGCCACACUGGGACUGAGACACGGCCCAGACUCCUACGGGAGGCAGCAGUAGGGAAUCUUCCGCAAUGGACGAAAGUCUGACGGAGCAACGCCGCGUGAACGAUGAAGGUCUUCGGAUCGUAAAGUUCUGUUGUCAGGGAAGAACAAGUACCGUGCGAAUAGAGCGGUACCUUGACGGUACCUGACGAGGAAGCCCCGGCUAACUACGUGCCAGCAGCCGCGGUAAU